rnacentral:sRNA from 1 species
UUGCACCAGGUAGAGAUGCUGGUGGUCGGUCGCAGGUGGUGAGAGCGGUGACAGGAGAAGCUGCGGAGGGGGUUGAGACCUAUUGAGAACAGAAGUUCAGCAGAGACUUAGAGGAAAGGCCGUUCACCCUAAAUGUGUUGCUCUCACCACCUCUGGACAAGAUGUGAGCCGGCCCAACAGGAAAGAGGUGCACAUGGGAGGGGACCCUUGGGGCUAACUAGGGAGCCUCAGGCGCAUGUCCCUCUGUUGUCCACAGCCUGCCGCUGCGCUUCUGGGUGAAUGUGAUCAAGAACCCGCAGUUCGUGUUUGACAUCCACAAGAACAGCAUCACGGAUGCCUGCCUGUCGGUGGUAGCCCAGACCUUCAUGGACUCCUGCUCUACAUCCGAGCACCGCCUGGGGAAGGACUCGCCCUCCAACAAACUGCUCUACGCCAAGGACAUCCCCAACUACAAGAGCUGGGUGGAGAGGUAUUAUCGAGACAUUGCAAAGAUGGCAUCCAUCAGCGACCAGGACAUGGAUGCCUACCUGGUGGAGCAGUCCCGCCUCCACGCCAGCGACUUCAAUGUCCUGAGUGCACUCAGUGAGCUCUACUUCUAUGUCACCAAGUACCGCCAGGAGAUUCUCACGGCUCUGGACCGAGAUGCCUCUUGUCGGAAGCAUAAGUUGCGGCAGAAACUGGAACAGAUCAUCAGCCUCGUGUCCAGCGACAGCUAAGGUGGUGGAAU